rnacentral:rRNA from 1 species
UACGGGGGGGGCAAGCGUUGUUCGGAAUUACUGGGCGUAAAGGGUCUGUAGGUGGCUUGCUAAGUCAGACGUGAAAUCCCUCAGCUUAACUGGGGAACUGCGUCUGAGACUGGCGAGCUUGAGGGCAGGAGAGGAACGCGGAAUUCCAGGUGUAGCGGUGAAAUUCGUAGAUAUCGGGAGGAACACCAGUGGCGAAGGCGGCGAUCUGGGAAGAUACUGACGCUGAGGUGCGAAAGCGUGGGGAGCAAACAGG